rnacentral:rRNA from 1 species
GCGGCCGAUUAGGUAGUUGCUGGGGUAACGUCCCAACAAGCCGAUAAUCGGUACGGGUUGUGAGAGCAAGAGCCCGGAGAUGGAUUCUGAGACACGAAUCCAGGUCCUACGGGGCGCAGCAGGCGCGAAAACUUUACACUGCGCGAAAGCGCGAUAAGGGGACCUCGAGUGCGUGCGCAAUGCGUACGCUUUUCAGAUGCCUAAAAAGCAUCUGGAAUAAGGGCCGGGCAAGACCGGUGCCAGCCGCCGCGGUAACACCGGCGGCUCAAGUGGUGGCCGCUAUUAUUGGGCUUAAAGGGUCCGUAGCCGGACCAGUUAGUCCCUUGGGAAAUCUUACGGCUUAACCGUAAGGCUGCCAAUGGAUACUGCUGGUCUUGGGACCGGGAGAGGCAAGAGGUACCUCAGGGGUAGGAGUGAAAUCCUGUAAUCCUUGAGGGACCGCCAGUGGCGAAGGCGUCUUGCUAGAACGGGUCCGACGGUGAGGGACGAAAGCUAGGGGCACGAACCGGAUUAGAUACCCGGGUAGUCCUAGCCGUAAACGAUGCGAGCUAGGUGUCACGUGGAUUGCGAAUCCAUGUGGUGCCGAAGGGAAACCGUGAAGCUCGCCGCCUGGGAAGUACGGCCGCAAGGCUGAAACUUAAAGGAAUUGGCGGGGGAGCAC